rnacentral:misc_RNA from 1 species
GAUUAAAGCAACUACAAAAAUUACUCUAAUGAAAAAUGGAGGAAAUGGGAAAAAAAUAAAAAAGAUGAAGACGAAGAUAGAGGGGGCAAGAAGAAGAAGAUGAAGAUUUUCUUGUUGGAGAAAGGGAGGGAAGGAGGGCUUACAGAAGGGGCGGUGUAUAGAAGGAAUGAAGAUAAAGAAGAAAAUGUUAUUGAAUAAAAAUUGAAGAAAAAUGAUA